rnacentral:rRNA from 1 species
UACAGAGGGGGCAAGCGUUGUUCGGAUUUACUGGGCGUAAAGGGCGCGUAGGCGGCCACCGCAAGUCGGUUGUGAAAUCUCUGGGCUUAACCCAGAAAGGUCAACCGAUACUGCGGGGCUAGAGUGCAGAAGGGGCAACUGGAAUUCUCGGUGUAGCGGUGAAAUGCGUAGAUAUCGAGAGGAACACCUGCGGCGAAGGCGGGUUGCUGGGCUGACACUGACGCUGAAGCGCGAAAGCUAGGGGAGCGAACGGG